CCUACGGGAGGCAGCAGUGGGGAAUAUUGCGAAAUGGGCGAAAGCCUGACGCAGCGACGCAGCGUGAGGGAUGAAGGUCUUCGGAUCGUAAACCUCUGUCAGCAGGGAAGAACGGUCACUUUGCUAAUCAGCAGUGAAUUGACGGUACCUGCAAAGGAAGCACCGGCUAACUCCGUGCCAGCAGCCGCGGUAAUACGUCGGGUGCGAUCGUUAAUCGGAAUUACUUGGCGUAAAGCGCUCGUAGUCGUUAUGUCAAAUCAAGGGUGAAAUCCCCGCGCUCAACGUGGGAACUGCCUUUGAAACUGGCAAACUGGAGUGUGUGAGAGGAUAGUGGAAUUCCAGGUGUAGGAGUGAAAU
rnacentral:rRNA from 1 species